GGUGAUAUAGUUCAGUGAUUGAAUAUUUGAAUAACAAAGACAAAGUUCUGGGUUAGAUUCCCAGGAUCAUUA
rfam:Mus musculus chromosome 17 genomic contig, GRC reference assembly alternate locus group NOD/MrkTac.